rnacentral:lncRNA from 1 species
CUCCAUGGUCUUGAAGGAGCGAAGGUAGAGUGGGGCGAUGCUGCAGCCCUUCUCCAUCCCUGUUUUCUUCCCAAGUCCUGGUGGGGAGACAGUAGGGACGUCACACCUGGGACAGCUCACCCAAGGGAGAAGGGGCUGGGAGCUGAGGGCAGAGCUGGAAGCAUUCCUUUUUCUUCUUAGGGUGAUGCAGGACCCUGCGGCAGGGAUGGAGCUGCUGGAGCAGCUGGGCUGGAGGGACCCGCAGGAGACGAUGGAGCAAAGGGAGACCCUGGCCAUCCUGGCCCUGUGGGCUCAGUGGGUGCACGUGGACGGCCAGGCAGCCCUGGCUUCAAGGGCUACACUGGGCAUCGAGGAGCUGGGGGAGCAGCAGGCACACGGGGGCAGCCGGGUCGACAGGUGAGUGGGGCUCUGUGGGGAAACUGAGGCAUGGAGUGGGGGAAGGACUGAGCCUUGGGGUCCCAUGAGGAACAACUCAGAGCUGAGGGCCCCCUGCUUUGUCUCCCAAUGAAUGCAGGGUCCUCUUGGGCCGCCGGGCAAUGCUGGAGUCCCAGGGUCUGGUGGCAUUGAGGUGAGUGCCACCCUCUGCCCUUGUGCCAUCCCCAUCCUCAGCUCUCCAAGCUGAGGGCUGCCCAAGGAGCAGGGUUGAUUUAUUUGUUCUUUCUUAGGGCCUCGUGGGUGCCAAAGGGGAGCCAGGCACAGUGGGAGAACCAGGGCACACGGUGAGGGGGUGGGGAGAGCUGUACUGAAGUGGGUGGCUGAGAUUUCCUGGGAUCAUAGGAAAUGCU